rnacentral:rRNA from 2 species
UACAGAGGGUGCGAGCGUUAAUCGGAAUUACUGGGCGUAAAGCGCGCGUAGGCGGUUGGACAAGUCGAGUGUGAAAUCCCCGGGCUCAACCUGGGAGCUGCAUUCGAAACUGUUCGGCUAGAGUAUGGGAGAGGGAAGUGGAAUUUCAGGUGUAGCGGUGAAAUGCGUAGAUAUCUGAAGGAACAUCAGUGGCGAAAGCGACUUCCUGGACCAAUACUGACGCUCAGGUGCGAAAGCGUGGGGAGCAAACAGG